rnacentral:rRNA from 1 species
UACGGAGGGGGCUAGCGUUGUUCGGAAUUACUGGGCGUAAAGCGCACGUAGGCGGACCUGAAAGUCAGAGGUGAAAUCCCGGGGCUCAACCCCGGAACGGCCUUUGAAACUCUGGGUCUUGAGGUCGAGAGAGGUGAGUGGAAUUCCGAGUGUAGAGGUGAAAUUCGUAGAUAUUCGGAGGAACACCAGUGGCGAAGGCGGCUCACUGGCUCGAUACUGACGCUGAGGUGCGAAAGCGUGGGGAGCAAACAGG